AAUCGGAGAGUUAGCUCUUUGAGGCCGGCUGCCCUUAAAUCCUCUCACUUCACACAUAAGGAAACUGAGGCCGUGACGGCCAAGGACUCGCCUAAGGUCGUUCCGUAUUCCACCUGCUCCUCUCUCCCGAAGCGGGGGCACUCUUCCCUGACCCCAGGGACGACUCUGAAGCCAGUUCUGGAGGAGGGCCCCCAAUUAGAAAAAUGCCAGGGAGGAAUAGCAACCCUGACCACUUAACACACUGUGAUUGGGGCAACAAAAAUCUUCACCUGAGACCCAACUCCGCUGUUCUGCUUCCUCGGUGGAAGCCACACGAACCCCACUGGUACAGCGGCAGCGAUAGACCCCAGGCGGCUGAAAGCUUAUUUGGAGCGUCCCGGAGCAUGUCGAUUGUGCUGUGCCAGUGCAGGGGGAGUACCCCUCAGUUCUGGCCCCAGGCUCCAUUCUUUGCUAACCGGUCCAAGAAGUGGGGGGGCAGUCAGUGCCAGUGGGUUUAGAACUCCUCAGCCGCGGCUUCAACAUCACACACAACCAGAAAGCAAACCUUCAUGAGGCUGAGAGGCAGGCCGCCCUGCCAAUACAUUCCAUCACAUGGCACCCUCGGAGCGUUCCUAUUUUAGGGACUGGUUGGAAGACAGCUAGAAACAUAGAAAGCAGGCAAAAUGUUUGCUGGCUUUACUCCUUUCCUUUGAGGGCAUCGUCAUGCAUCCUAGGGGGGAAAAAUCUGCACAGAUCCUGGAAAUCAAGAACUUCGUGAACCAGAGGAAGGGGGCUGUUUGCCAGUACUAGUCUACAGAGGCCUCUGAUCUUUUCACAUUUAAUGCCCCAGCAUCUAGAGCUGAGCAUGCAGAAGUCGCCACACACACAAAUGUCCAGGUGGCCAUGCACUCAUACAGCCCUGGAGUUUCUGCUGAAGGCUGAGGUUUAAUUUUUUACACUCUUCUUUGUCACUGGCCAACUCUAUACCAGUAAGUAGGCACCUCUCUGAAAGGCAGUGUUCUUAAGACACUGUUCGCUUCAGGGGUGAGGAAGCAGAAGGUAAGAGUAGAGUGAACACAGAUUUGAAUGCCAGCCUCUCCAUUGCCCCCAAUACUCCAUCUGCUCCAGAGCUUAGUGGAGAUGUUUGCUAUUUAAAACAAACAGCCUUACUGGCUUCACAUGAUCAUCUGUUUAUUUGGGUCAUGUGGGGACAGCAGCCAGGGGAUGUUAGACAAAAACAAGGGUUUAGAAGGGAGGCUGCAGGCCAGGAGCGGUGGCUCACGCCUGUAAUCCCAGCACUUUGGGAGGCCGAGGUGCAUGGAUCACUUGAGGUCCGGAGUUCGAGACAAUCCUGGCCAACGUGGUGUGGUGAAACCCUGUCUCUACUAAAAAAAAAAAAAAAAAAAGGAAGAAAAAAGAAAAUUAGCUGGGCGUGGUGGCAGGCGCCUGUAAUCCCAGCUACUGGGGGUGGUUAAGGCAGGAGAGUCACUUGAACCCGGGAGGUGGAGGUUGCAGUGAGCUGAGAUGACACCACUGCACUCCAGCCUGGGCCACAGAGAGAGACUCCGUCUCCAAAAAAAAAAAAAAAAAAAAAAAAAAAGGGUGGGGGAGGCUGUUUCUGGACCUAUUGUUGCCUACAGGAGCCUGAAAAUGGCCAAAAACAAUACCUCAUCAACCAAGCUUUCCCCAGUUGAGGAAUGGACAGUGGGGGUGGGAGAUACCUAUAAAUGGCGAUGUGAGGGCAUGAAAGAAGAGGGGAAUGAAUAGGAGGGCUGUUUAAUAUUUUAGCCCCAGCUUCCUGUUCCAAGGGGGUGGAGCCAGGAUAGAAGCUGGCAAAUGUACUCACUCAAGAGAAAGAGAAAUAAGUCCUUUUGGUUUCAGCAGAAAGGUUAGCAGGUUUGGGGAAUUAUCCAAAGGCCAGCAAUCUCUAAAAAGGUGUUCCUUAAGUUUCUUUUUCUUUUUUUCUUUUUUGAGAUAGAGUCUCCCUCUGUUGCCCAGGCUGGAGUGCAGUGGUGUGAUCUUGGCUCACUGCAACUUCUGCCUCCCAGGUUCAAGUG
rnacentral:lncRNA from 1 species